rnacentral:SRP_RNA from 2 species
GUCGGGUGUGGUGGCUCACGCCUAUAAUCCCAGCACUUUGGGAGACUGAGGUGGGCGGAUCACCUGAGGCCAGGAGUUCGAGACCAGCCUGGCCAACAUGGUGAAACCCCAUCUCUA